rnacentral:rRNA from 1 species
CAAUAGCGUAUAUUAAAGUUGUUGCAGUUAAAAAGCUCGUAGUUGGAUUUCUGGGAGGGUGCCAAUGUCCGUCGUCGUACGUGUUGCAGCGGCGCCCUUCCAUCCUUCUGUUAACGACUUUGGGCAUUCAUUUGCCGGAGUCGGGCUCAGAUAUUUUACCUUGAGAAAAUUAGAGUGUUCAAAGCAGGCCUAUGCUCUGAAUAGGUUAGCAUGGAAUAAUAGAAUAGGACUUUGGUUCUAUUUUGUUGGUUUCUAGGACCGAAGUAAUGAUUAAUAGGGACAGUUGGGGGCAUUCAUAUUCCAUUGUCAGAGGUGGAAUUCUCGGAUUUGUUAAAGACUAACUUAUGCGAAAGCAUUUGCCAAGGAUGUUUUCAUUAAUCAAGAACGAAAGUUAGGGGAUCAAAGACGAUUAGAUACCAU